rnacentral:rRNA from 1 species
UACGGAGGGGGCUAGCGUUGUUCGGAAUUACUGGGCGUAAAGCGCACGUAGGCGGCUUUGUAAGUUAGAGGUGAAAGCCCAGGGCUCAACCCUGGAAUUGCCUUUAAGACUGCAUCGCUUGAACAUCGGAGAGGUAAGUGGAAUUCCGAGUGUAGAGGUGAAAUUCGUAGAUAUUCGGAAGAACACCAGUGGCGAAGGCGACUUACUGGACGAUUGUUGACGCUGAGGUGCGAAAGCGUGGGGAGCAAGCAGG